rnacentral:misc_RNA from 1 species
AAAAAAUCACGUUUAUCUUCUUGUGGGGUGUUUUGCAGAGAUAACCUAGGCAAUGCUCUGUUUGUUGCAGGAAGGCAGUUGCAUGGCCUUCGUGAGGUGGAGCUAGCAGAGGGACUUGCGGUUUUGAUGUGUUUAUAGUUAGCAAUCAAUGAGGUAUUCAGUAUUUGGAAACUGAAUUGGGGGGAAGGGAUGAUGAAUUGCUCUCUAAAAUCGACAUGUAGCUCUUGAGAAUCGACAAUAAGCUCGACAAUCUGGGUACAACCAUGGAGAGGUUGGCGGCAUAUUUCACUGACAGAAGGAUUGGACAAUGAGUUUGAUAAUCCGAGUUUGACAAUGAGUUCGAUAAUCCGAGUUUGAUAAUCAGCAUCCUAAUCUUAAAGUUCAAACUCUGGAAAUUAAGAGAAAACAGCACUGUUACUGUGCACAUUGCUUAAGGUAACUUGUAAGGAACAGUAGCGAAAUGUAAUCCGUGUCAAUAAUAGCAAUUUAACAGUUAAAAUUUCAGACAUUAUAAUACCAAACAAAAUAAUCAUUAUCAACAGUAGCAAAAUUCACAAGGCAGAAACAUAGAGAUGCAGCGCCAAUGGGAUUAAGCAGAGGAUAAGGUUUAAACAUAAAAAUGCGCGGCAAAUCAAAGACAAAGAGUUGAAGAAGAGGCAACAUUUCAAUGGUUUUUUAUGGUAUAAACAGAACCAAUUUGGGCACAAAACUCAGACAUCAGAUCGAAGAAAAAGCAGCGAAUAGGGAUCAAAUAAAGCAUUUUACUUUUCUUAUAAGUUUUUACCUGAAAAGGAAGAAGCGAGAAAACGCAAACAUCAAUCGAAGAUGGAAAGAGCCAAAAUUGAUAGCAGGUAAUGCGAAAUUGCAUACAAGCUACAAUCACCGAAUUGUGCCUUGGGAGAAAAUAAAAUUGAAUUUUGGAAAAAGGAAAUGAUUAAAUUCCAUUACCCGUUCUUAAACCCGGGUCGGGUGGACGAAAGCCAACUAUCCUAAACCGCACUAAACAAUUGUGAAAAAAAACAAAUCCAUUUUAAAUAGUUUCUUUUUCCCGGAAAGGUAAGUUAGAUUCAGAAAUAUUAAGCAUUAUGAACUGAGGACAAACAAAUAGAGGCCCAUACAAAGAGAAGUCCCAAACUAACCCGUAGCCCAAAAAACUAGGCCAGAAUUUAAACUGCUAAAAACCUAAGCUAUGGAAGAGACCUGACCCGAAGAAAGCAAGUCGAAAGCAUUAUGGCAGCUUUCUCAUCGAAACCAAGCCAAUAGGAACUCUAGCCACUGGACGCAUCACCGUGUUGAUUAAUAUCAUUUAAAACGACGUUAAAAAGGAGGGAAGUACCCCACGCCAGAAGGAA